CGAUAGCAAACAAGUACCGUGAGNGAAAGAUGAAAAGAACCUUGAAAAGGGGGUUAAAAGUACGUGAAAUUGUUAUUAGGAAAGCACUUAGCCUCAUUGUGGAUUANAUCAGUCUGUUUCGGCAGAUACUGUCCUAAUUAGUUAUGAUCAGUUAGCGUUGAUAAAGAAAAUUUGUAAUAAGGUAUUAGUGUAGUGCUAAACUUAAAGAUUACUUAUUAUUUGUCGAUACUGACUGAGGAAUGCUACUUAAUCUUUUUGAGUAAAUAGUUUGUGGAGUUAGGUUAAACAACAUGUUGAUUAGCUUAAUUAAAGCGAUCUAUCUGCUUUAAAACUUAAGUACAGGAUCAUAAUUAAAUGAUACUAAAUGACCCGUCUUGAAAC
rnacentral:rRNA from 1 species